UUCUCUAGAGUGUCCUCUGUGGGUCGCUCUAGCCUGCGCAGGAGGCGGUGAGACAGCGGCUGCCUUUCUAGGCUGCGGGAGGCGGCAGAGGGCGCCUCGUUGGUCGCGCGGUCGGCCAUGGAGGCCUUACGCAAAGCGCUGGUUGUGGGCGCAAUGCUGGGCGUGGGGGCUGGUGUGGGCUCCGCGCUCUUUGUCCUCGUGACCCCAGGAGAGGAGCGGAUUCAGGCGAUGCUUAAGGAGAUGCCGGGGCAGGACCCGCGGGGCAGGGAAGAGACGGCCAGGAACAAGCAGUUAGUGCUGGCCACUCUGCAGGAGGCAGCGGCCACGCAGGAGAACGUGGUCUGGAGGAAGAACUGGAUGGGCGCCGGCGGCGGCAGGUCAGCGUAAGCCGCAACCUGCCCCAGUGGGCCCUGGGACCUCUGCUCCGGCGCUGGAGUCCGAGGCAGCCUUUCUCUUCCAUGGGCCUUCGGGGAGUCCCGGCCCGGUGACCUGCCGCCGGGUCAUCAUAGGAUCUACUGGAGACACCACUGAAGGGGUGAGAUAAAGCCAUCAGUGGGGUCGCAGCCCCAGCCAAGUCUAUUGCUCCCUACCCCCCACCCCCGCUUUGUCUUUUAUAUCCUGUGGUUCUCAGCAACAUUGUAAUGGGGGGUGG